GACGAACGCUGGCGGCGUGCUUAACACAUGCAAGUCGAGCGGAAAGGCCCCUUUGGGGGUACUCGAGCGGCGAACGGGUGAGUAACACGUGAGUAAUCUGCCCUUCACUUUGGGAUAACCCCCGGAAACGGGAGCUAAUACCGGAUACGACCACCGUCUGCAUGGACUGGUGGUGGAAACUUUUUUGGGUGGGGGAUGUGCUCGCGGCCUAUCAGCUUGUUGGUGGGGUAAUGGCCUACCAAGGCUUUGACGGGUAGCCGGCCUGAGAGGGUGACCGGCCACACUGGGACUGAGACACGGCCCAGACUCCUACGGGAGGCAGCAGUGGGGAAUAUUGGACAAUGGGCGGAAGCCUGAUCCAGCAACGCCGCGUGAGGGAUGACGGCCUUCGGGCUGUAAACCUCUUUCAGCACCGACGAAGCGUGAGUGACGGUAGGUGCAGAAGAAGGACCGGCCAACUACGUGCCAGCAGCCGCAGUAAGAC
rnacentral:rRNA from 1 species